rnacentral:tRNA from 2 species
GCAUCUAUGGUGAAGAGGUAUCACAACUGCCUUCCAAGCAGUGAUCGCCAGUUCGAUACUGGCUAGAUGCUCCA